CUGGAUUUCAAGGGAGAAAUACAGAUAUAUAGAUGACGAGUCUUAGGUAUCUACAUGAUAUUUAGAGAAAUGAAACUCUGGUGAGAUCACUAAAGGAAUAAUGGUCAGUAGAGAAAAGAGAAGGUUCAAGGGCCCUUCGUUGGUGCAGCCCUAAAUUUCUGGUAGUGUUUCUCAGCUUUGGCUGCAAGUAGAAUUACCAAGAGACCUUAAAAAGAAAUACUGAUGCCUGGGUCCCACUUCUAAAGGUUCAGUUUUAAUUGUGCUGGUCAAGGCACUCCCUGGGUGUCAUGGAAGUGAGAGUAUAUCACUUUUGCUAUAUUCUGUUCCUUAGGAGCAAGUCUCUAGGUCCAAUGCGUACUCAAGAGAAGGGGAUUGUACAAGGGCAUGAACAGCAGGAGGUGGGAUCAUUGAGGGCCUUCUUGAAAAGCAGUCUACAGAAGUACGUGCUCAUGAGUGUCGAUGCAAAAAUUGUACCGGACAACGUCGGAGAGGAUCAUGAACCCGCGAGGACCCGGCCUGGGUGGGACAUGACAAGUGGCGUCUCAACGCGGGGCUCAGUGAAAGGACAUGACAACAUACUACUGUAAUCCUAUUAGAAUGACUAAAAUCUAAGAUAAUACCAAGUGCUGGUGAGCAUCUGGAGCAAUAGGAGCUCUCAUUCAUUGCUAGUGGG
rnacentral:lncRNA from 1 species